rnacentral:rRNA from 1 species
ACAGCAGUAGCCACGGGAAUACGAAGGGUGCAAGCGUUACUCGGAAUUACUGGGCGUAAAGCGUGCGUAGGUGGUGGUUUAAGUCCGUUGUGAAAGCCCUGGGCUCAACCUGGGAAUUGCAGUGGAUACUGGGUCACUAGAGUGUGGUAGAGGAUAGUGGAAUUUCCGGUGUAGCAGUGAAAUGCGUAGAGAUCGGAAGGAACAUCUGUGGCGAAGGCGACUAUCUGGGCCAACACUGACACUGAGGCACGAAAGCGUGGGGAGCAAACAGGAUUAGAUACCCCAGUAGUCCCUGUCUCUUAUAA